rnacentral:rRNA from 1 species
AGCGAACGCUGGCGGCAGGCUUAACACAUGCAAGUCGAACGGGCAUCUUCGGAUGUCAGUGGCAGACGGGUGAGUAACACGUGGGAACGUACCCUUCGGUUCGGAAUAACUCAGGGAAACUUGAGCUAAUACCGGAUACGCCCUUUUGGGGAAAGGUUUACUGCCGAAGGAUCGGCCCGCGUCUGAUUAGCUUGUUGGUGGGGUAACGGCCUACCAAGGCGACGAUCAGUAGCUGGUCUGAGAGGAUGAUCAGCCACACUGGGACUAAGACACGGCCCAGACUCCUACGGGAGGCAGCAGUGGGGAAUAUUGGACAAUGGGCGCAAGCCUGAUCCAGCCAUGCCGCGUGAGUGAUGAAGGCCUUAGGGUUGUAAAGCUCUUUUGUCCGGGACGAUAAUGACGGUACCGGAAGAAUAAGCCCCGGCUAACUUCGUG